GAUGAACGCUAGCGGCAGGCUUAACACAUGCAAGUCGAGGGGCAGCAUAAUGGAUAGCACUAUCUAUGGUGGCGACCGGCGCACGGGUGCGUAACGCGUAUGCAACCUACCUUUAACAGGGGGAUAACACUGAGAAAUUGGUACUAAUACCCCAUAAUAUCAUAGAAGGCAUCUUUUAUGGUUGAAAAUUCCGAUGGUUAGAGAUGGGCAUGCGUUGUAUUGGCUAGUUGGUGGGGUAACGGCUCACCAAGGCGACGAUACAUAGGGGGACUGAGAGGUUAACCCCCCGCACGGGUACUGAGACACGGACCAGACUCCUACGGGAGGCAGCAGUGAGGAAUAUUGGUCAAUGGACGCAAGUCUGAACCAGCCAUGCCGCGUGCAGGAUGACGGCUCUAUGAGUGGUAAACUGCUUUUGUACGAGGGUAAACGCAGAUACGUGUAUCUGUCUGAAAGUAUCGUACGAAUAAGGAUCGGCUAACUCCGUG
rnacentral:rRNA from 1 species